ACAGAGGGCGCGAGCGUUGUCCGGAAUCACUGGGCGUAAAGGGCGCGUAGGUGGCCACGAUAAGGCCGCGGUGAAAGUCUGGGGCUCAACCCCAGAUCGGCCGCGGCGACUGUCGGGCUGGGGCACUGUAGAGGCAGAUGGAAUUCCGGGUGGAGUGGUGAAAUGCGUAGAGAUCCGGAGGAACACCAGAGGCGAAAGCGGCGCUCUGGGCUGCACCUGACGCUGAACUGCGAAAGCCAGGGGAGCGAACGGGA
rnacentral:rRNA from 1 species